AGAGAUGUAGACCAAUGUUUUCGCGUAGGAGUCUGUGCUGCAUAACAAAUGUGUUUUGUUGAAAUGUCAUGUAAUCAUAUGUGAAUGUUAUUUUCUAAAACUGUAAUUCAGCUUUAUGUGGAAGGAUUUUCACUGCCUGCGAUAAUUGUUGCAUACUUGAUUUUAUAACAUGACAGCAGAACAAUGAAUUAUUAAGUGCAUUAUUACUGCAGUCAUUGGGUUACUAAAUAAAAAAGAAAAUAUGGCACAGAGUAGCUCCAGUGGCACGUCGUCUAGGCGGCACGGGAGGAGCGAUCACGAUACAGCUUCAUUAACAUCAAGCAGAUAUGCCGACGCCGAAUGGGAAGCCAAGGAGGCAUUACGGCAGAGAGAAUUGGAGGAAGCAAGAGCUCGCGCAACCCAGAUGGAAAAGACGAUGAGAUGGUGGUCUGAUUGUACUGCAAACUGGAGAGAAAAAUGGAGCAAGGUACGUAAUGAACGCAACAAGGCCAGAGAAGAAUCGAAACAGUUGAGGAUACGACUAGAAGCAGCAAUGAAAGAUGCUGGAACCUGCAGGAGGGAGCGUCAAGAACUAGAAACAGAAAAUGAGCGGCUAAGACAAGAGUUAGAACAAGCACACAUGUUACUACUGAAGGGAGCAGGGAAAUCAGGCAGUGCGUGGGCACCAAAUAGUAAUUUGCCAGCUGAUGACCAUGAAGCAGAGGAGUAUGUUCUUCCUCGGCACACUACAGAACUGUGCCAUGCGGGAGUGGUGGGGCGUGAAAAUGCAGUUGAUGGAGAUGCUCAAGAGCCGGCAGCUGUAUCAACAGAUUUGUCAGCAUCUGAUGCAGCCUUGGGUGAUAUGGACCCCACAGCUGCCCUAGGACCACGUGACCCUGCAGCAGAUGGUGGAGAAGAUCUGGAUCGUGAUCAUGACUGCAUGUUGCAGAAGAUGUCUAUGCUACAGCUUAGAUUAGAUGAGGCUUCAAAGACUAUACAGAUCGAGAGAGAAGAAAAAGGAGCACUGCAACGAGCUUUGGACAGGUUACGAGGAGAUCUGGCUGGUGAGACAAGGGUGCAAGACGGUGGUAUAGCAGGACGACUUGCGCUCCUUAGAGCAGAGCUCGAACGCAUGCAGGCAGAAAAUUCUGCUGAAUGGAGAAGAAGCGAAAGCCUGGAGACUGAGAAACUUGCCUUGGAGAGAGAGAACAAAAAACUACGAGCUGAACUUCGUGACGCAAAUGAGCGACUUGAACGUAUGCAGCGCAAUGUUGCAGCAGGCCGUUUACCUUUGCCUUCAUCAUCAGUAGUGGAAACAGAGCUGCGCGAAGAUCUUGCUGACAGAGUUAAGGAGCUGACUGAACUGAAGCAGGCACACUCAAAGCUAAAAAAGGUAUUUCAAGAAAAGUCAACAGAACUUGCACAUGCAGCAAGACGGGCAGAACAGUACGAGGCAGAAGUAAAGAGACUGCGUGCUCGUGUUGAGGAAGUGAAAAGGGAACUAACAGCAGCAGAGGAUGAAGUUGAUGCUGCCUCAAACAGCAUACGAAAACUCCAGAGAGCAAAUGAUGAAUUACAGGAACAAGUAGAGACGCUUCAGGUACAACUUGAACAUUUGCACUCCAGAGACAGCCUGUGUCUUGAGGAGACCUCCUGAGAGCAUGCUGUCCCUGCCAGCGAAGCUCUUGGCAGGGUCCUCUAUGGCGACAGCACUAUAGGCACACUCUGAGUGUGUUGCCAGGUUCCAGGUUCCCAGUUCUUCAAGUUCUCAUCGUAAUGGCCAAGAUUUUGCCUUUCGUGGAGAACUGAGUGAUGAUGAAGUUAUAUAUUAAAUGAUUUGUGGGUAUUUGUCAUUGCACUUCCAUUUCUGGUAACUUGUGAAAACAUAUUGCAAUACAACUGUAUAGAAAUGGCAUUUUUUCAAAAUAAGUAAAUAACAGUUGAAUUUAUAGUAACUAGGAAAAUAUAGCUUCAGUGAAGCAUAUAGUAUUUUUCUAUAUAUUUGACUGUAAUUCAUGGUGGAAUUGAAUGACUGCAUUCCAUUGCAUAUUUGUGCUAUUAAAACUGUAAUUAGACAAAAAGUGGUUGACAUAUUGAAUGAUGAAUUAGCAGUUGUGAUCAUUUGUGUGAGCUCACUUCAGCACUUACAAUUUAGAAAAAAAUAACAGCAAAUAUUUCAGGAAAAAGUAGCUGUCUAACAAAGCUCACUUCUCAGAUCUUGGGUGCUCUUUCAUAUCUGAACAUUCAAAUGAAGCAGAACAGAAUGCUAAUCAUCUGUGAAUGAACUGUGCAGUUUUAUAAUAGACACAUAAUGGCAGAGGUAGUUGCCCUUCUUAAGAUCUACAUCUACAUCUACAUUUAUACUCCGCAAGCCACCCAACGGUGUGUGGCGGAGGGCACUUUACGUGCCACUGUCAUUAUAUCCCUUUCCUGUUCCAGUCGCGUAUGGUUCGCGGGAAGAACGACUGUCUGAAAGCCUCUGUGCGCGCUCUAAUCUCUCUAAUUUU